AAUAAAAACAGCCCUUUCUAAAAACAGCCUCACAAAAGACUCACGCAUUUGUGAGGCUGCAGAUGAACAAAUGGUGUGAGAGAGCAAUCCUCACUCGUCUGGAGACGAUGAAACUAUUGAGAAGCAUAGCUGGUCAAUUAUUUAUUGUCUUCUUUAUCCAUUCCUUUCAUAAUGUCAAAAUCCAAGCCCUUCCUCAGUCUGUAUUGACGGCGAGCGCGUCAACCAUCAGAGAGGAAGAGUCUGUUACACUUCAGUGUUCGGCAAAGGCAGGGGAUCCUCCUAAAAAAUGUUGGAUUUACCUGAUUAGUCCAAACGGCGAAAAGAACCUUGCCUUCGAAUGCCAGGCGACAUUUACAGGCUCUGUGCUCCUGGCAGAGAACUUGGCUCUCGCUGAUGUGAAGGUUCGGUGUUAUUACACCAACGAUCGGGAUGAGCCUGCUCCACACAGCGACAUCGUGUCUAUCACUGUAGCAAGAGCCCUUCCUCAGUCUGUAUUAACGGCGAGCGCGUCAUCCAUCAGAGAGGAAGAGUCGGUAACACUUCAGUGUUCGGCAAAGGCAGGGCACCCUCCUAGAAAAUGUUUGAUUUUCCUGAUAAGUCCCACUCAGAGCCAAAAAAACAUCGCCUUCAAAUGCCAGGAGACAUUUACAGGCUCUGACCUCCUGAGAGAGAACUGGUCUCUCGCUGAGGUGAAGGUUGGGUGUUUUUACACCAACGA